UCCGCCUCCGUCACCUGUUGCCCGGCUGCCUCCAUCCACGCAGCCCCCCGGCGCCUCCUCCCGCUCCGGCGGCGCCACGGGCUUCUCGGGCUCCCGGGCCACCUCCAUCCCGCUGGGCACCGCCUCCUCCUCCUCCAAGGACUCCACGUAGAAGACGGUGCGGGGCGGCGGCGGCCCUGGCCCGUGCCCUGGCCCGUGCACCCCGCCCGGACGGCCGCCGGCGGACAGCAGCGUCCCGUUGGGUGGACUGGCUGUGGUGGCCGCCGAGGAGGCGGCGGAGGAGGCAGCUUUCUUCCAGAAGGCGCUGCUGCCCCUCUCCUGGCUCUUAAGAAGGCGGCUCUGGCUGGGCCCCCAGUGCUCGAAGCUGCUGUCGGGCGGCAAGCAGCCGCCCCCCGCCGGUCCGCCCGCCGGCGAGGGGUGGCUGAACAGUUUCCAGCGGAGGCGCAGGAUGUGCUUCACGUCGAAGUCUUUCCUGCCGGAGCCGGACAUGGUGCCGCGGCGGGCGGGGGACGGGCGCGGGCUGAGGCGGGACUCACGGCGGCCCAGGCAGGGCCGGGCGGCAGCGGCAGCGGUAGCAGCAGCGCGGGGCGGUUCGGCGGCGGUGGCUCCUCCGGGCAGCGCUGCGCCUGCGGGGCGAGGGGUGGCAGCCGACGGGAGGAGAGCGAUGCGCGUACACGCCAGUGCAGAGGGAGAGAGAAGGAGAAUGGAUGGAGCGACGCGGAGAGCCGAGAGGAGCCACCCCCUGCUCUGCAUGUGACGCAGAUGUGCUCUGGGGCCGUCAGGAAAAAGAGAUGAUCCAGUCUUCCUCGUGCAAGAAAAAAUGGCCUAGGGAUAUAUAUCCUUUUAAUAAAACCUCAAAGUAGUAAAAAGCGAUUCUAAAGAGAAAUACGUUGAAUGAAUUUUCAACUGAGAUUGAACUUUGGAGAAUGAGUUGGCCUUUGGAGAAAGACCUGACCAUGAGAUACUGCUGAUUUCCUUAUUCAAGUGUGCUCCUGUUAGCCAGGAAGAGAAUCAAGCCCAAGCCUUCUUGCCUGCAGGGCUGGCUCUUGUGUUAUGCUCAGAGCAGCAGGCUUUGUCUACAGUCCUGAUGUAGGCUACAGCGAUCAAGUGCUGGGCUGCCAGUUAAGUAUACUCAAACAACACCAGUUUCACCACUAACAUACAUUGUUACCUCUUUCCCUUUGUCUUGACUCUCCUUUUUGCCGUCCCUGUACCUCUCUUUCUAUUCCCCAAUCUCCUCUCAAUUUCUCUCAGUUCCUUUUUCCCUGUUGAUCCACUGUUGCUAUGUCCUUAUCCAAAUUGGUUAUUUCUGUUAUUGUUGCUUGGGAAACCUCAUUCUUGUUUAUUGCUGAUGUGGUUACCUUGGCAUGCUGCUUCCCAAAGGUCCCCAGUACUCCCUCUAAUUACCUGUGAACUUCAGUCAUUUCUCGGAUAACUCUGCCUUAACUACCUGUGCACCCCUGCCAUGCCUCAUGCUGCUCUCUGUAAUGUAAUUCAGCUUCUCACACAGCUGUCAGAUCCAGCAGUUUCCUAUGUUAUGUCAUGUCCUGCUCAGUUAACUUAAUCCCAGGACAUGGUCUAGCCAGCAGUCCAGUCAUGGUCUUGCAGCUUUAACAAGAUUCCACUUGUUAGGCAACUUCAUUGCUACUUAAAGCCGAUCUUCAUGCUUAUGGAUGCUUCUUUUAAGUACAGACUCUUAAUUGUACUUUUAAC